AUUGAACGCUGGCGGCAUGCCUUACACAUGCAAGUCGAACGGUAACAGGUCUUCGGAUGCUGACGAGUGGCGAACGGGUGAGUAAUACAUCGGAACGUGCCUAGUAGUGGGGGAUAACUACUCGAAAGAGUGGCUAAUACCGCAUGAGAUCUACGGAUGAAAGCAGGGGAUCGCAAGACCUUGUGCUACUAGAGCGGCCGAUGGCAGCUUAGGUAGUUGGUGGGAUAAAAGCUUACCAAGCCGACGAUCUGUAGCUGGUCUGAGAGGACGAUCGGCCACACUGGAACUGAGACCCGGCCCAGAGUCCUCCGGGAGGCAGCAGUGGGGAAUUUUGGACAAUGGGCGCAAGCCUGAUCCAGCAAUGCCGCGUGCAGGAUGAAGGCCUUCGGGUUGUAAACUGCUUUUGUACGGAACGAAAAGCCCCGGGUUAAUACCCUGGGGUCAUGACGGUACCGUAAGAAUAAGCACCGGCUAACUACGUGCCAGCAGCCGCCGUAA
rnacentral:rRNA from 1 species